rnacentral:rRNA from 1 species
UACGAAGGGCGCGGGCGUUAUUCGUUUUGAUUGGGUGUAAAGGGUACGUAGGCGGCUGUUGAAAUUUUUGACCCAAAACGCAGAGUGUUCCUAUGCGACGGUCUUUUAAAGAUACAGCUUGUGAUGAGGAGUGGUUGGGGUAAUUUUGUGUGUAGGAGUGAAUCCUACCAUAUACGAACGAACACCGGCGCGCAAAGGCGCCCUUCUGGUCUCAUCAGACGCUAAGGUACGUCAGCUUCGGUACCAAACACC